AUGUGCCUUUGAAAUAGGCAAUGAGGCAUAAUGAGAGGAAGGUAGUGCUUCUGGUACUUCAGAAGGCAAUGCCUGCAUUUGAGCAGUACUAGGACCGACACCUUGCAAUGUGGUGGAUUUUUGUUACAUUUCAUUUUUCACUUGAAAGAAGGGAUGUUCGUGUGAGUUCUUUAAAAUACGGAUCAUCAUGUCACGACCAGGAUGCCUUAGGCGGACAUGCCAAAACCUGUAUGAGUCAGUGUCCCACAUUUCAUUGUUGGUGAUGGCAUAUGAUUCACUGAUCAGAAUAGUAGUGAGGUGCAGUCUACUAAAUUGACUCAUUAGUUUCUCUAAAAUGCGUUUCCUUCCACAUUCAUUAGAGGUAAUAUAAAGGUAUUCAGUUCCAUUCUCACAGUGGGUUUCUAUAUGAUAACUGUUGACACGAAUAUCUUUGAAACUUAAUAAGGUUUGAUUAGCUCUUGGUGCAUAAAAAGCAUUUGUGACUUUAAACAUUGUGCCGUUAGGCAACGAAAAUUUGGCAGUUUCUUGCUCUUUUAUUACAAUCAUCGCAGUCACAGAGGAAUUAUAGGCUAUUAAUUCAAUGAAUAAUUGCCUAUUCCUUAAUAUGGUGUGGGUAGUCCCACUAUCAACUAAGCACUCAAGUUCUCCUAGAUUCAUUCCUACAAGUAAAUGGGGGGUAUUAUUAAAGAAUUCAAAAAUAUAUCUCAUAUUCUUUAGAAUAUUUCUAUUUAGGUAGAAUGAUAAUAUUUUCAUUCUAAAUUUUUUUUCUUAGCUAUUGGCACUGAGCGUGCUGAUAACGUGUGAAAGUAAAAUGGAAAUUGGUAUAUUUAUUUCAUUAGAUAGUCCUUUCAUAUUGGGAGAGAAUUACAAUGGAAAUAUCAAUUACAAUAAUGACAGUAAAUGAUAAUUGAAUUGUAAUCGUUAAUCCCUUAAUUUCCUCUUCAUUAGUUACUUUGAUGAAACACAUAAUGUGUUUUUCAUUUAACAAGUAUUCAUUUAUCUUCAUCAAAAGUACUUAGAAACAAAACAAACUAAAAAACUUAAUGAUGAAAUUUUUGAAUUACUUGAGUCUAUUCAAGGGAUAUGGUAUUAAUAUAAAAACUAAGGUUAACCGAAUAUCAUAAAUAAACAUUUUUAUUUAAUUUUAUAAGGAAUAUAGUAUAAAUAUAAAAUCUAAGUAAAAUUUGUAAUAUUGUGGGGUUAGUGUGGUGAUUUGUUGAGUGACUUGUACGUAAGAGGUUGUGGAUACAAGUUAUGGUUAGGUUACUUGUUGAAAAACAUUUUAUUUGAUAGAUUUUUAAUAGUGGAACCCACUCAUAAGUUGACUAUGCAUGCCACCUCAACACCACAUUAUAAAACAUAGACCCUAUAUGAGCCACAUCAGUGAGUAAAUGGACUCACUUAAUGCAAAACUAACGGAUUUGACUUAUUAGAUCAAAAUUGAAAGUGCAAUGUUGUUUUUUAUUAAAUUAGAAGUUAAGUAACUGAAUUGAUUUUAGACCCGAACCACAGGAUAUUAAUCAGUAUUUAACCAUAAUAGCUAUCCUCUUUGUUCAUGAAACACUCAUCUAAGCAUGAUAAGAGAAAUUAUGUGGACUCCAAACUAGAUUGUCAGAAAACAAAUUAUUAUAAGUCCCCAAAAAUUCCUUAUUUACGCUCCAUUUAAGACUAGUGCACAAAGACCCAAGCCAAUAAGAAAAUAAAAGAUAAUCCCCAAACUGUCGUGCAAUGUAACCGCGUGAUCCACCUAUAGGGUUAUCAUAUAGUACCCUUGGCUUGUAUCGACCAGCAUAAUCCUAACAAUCUCUACCUAACUUGUAACCAUCAAUCCCUUGAGUCAUAUUAUGAUCUCUUGCAACUUCACUUUGAUUAGGAUUUUCUUAAGCACUUGCUCUACAUCCUCUACCUAUCUUAUAAAUUAUUCCACAGUUGGAACUCCAAAUAUAUCCAUAAUCUUCACCAUAUGUUUGCAACUACUUAAGUAUAUACGGAAAUUUAAGUAAAAUACCUAAGUCUAAGUUUUUUUAGGAAGGGCUUACUUUUGAGUCCCUAUUUUUUUUUUUUGAAAGGUGAAUGAAUCAUUCAUUCUUAUUAAAUUAAUCAACCGCAACGGUUGAAAGUAAAGUAUAUACACCAAAAUAAAUAUAGGCCAUUACACUGAACAACAACAUUUGACGUUGUAGCCACGCUAGCCCUAGCCACAUUAACACCAGCCGCUUCCGCCCUAAGGUUCUGAUCUUGCGCCAAUCUCUUAUGUCCGGCUCUAGACCAGACAACCACACUGUUAUGAAAAAUAGCUUUAACGUGGUCUCCUGAUCUUAGUAGGAAAAGUCAUCUCCGUGCAUGUGGCUGGCACGUGCUCAUUAGUUAACUAAUUAGUUAACCAAGUUAAUUAGUUGUUAUCUGUUAAUUAGUUUGUUAUGCUUAAUUAAUCAUGUUAGGGUUUUAUCUCAUCUUGCUCACUCCAUGUGCGACAAGUGUCCACAUGAUUUGGAGUAUAUAAACCCCCUUGAUGUAACCAUCAGCCUCAUCGAUGAAUACAAGUUUGUUUUGUUCUUCCUGCUUUAAUUUUCUUUGCAAUUUCCCUUCAGUUGGGGCUUCUACCCUAACAAUUGGUAUCUAGAGCCAGUCGAUCAUGGUUAAGCUCAAGGGGGUGGGAAACCCUCAUCUCCGCCACAUGUCUCCGACGCGCUACACGUCUCUAGCGAGCUUGUCCACCUCGAAUAUGAGUUGUAAGCGCAUCGGGAGGAGACCAACUCAAGACUCGAUGAGAUGCAGACUUCCUUACAGGAAGCCAUGGCCACUUUGUUGACCAAUUUCAAGUCCAUGUUGAUGGAUGAGUUCAAGCAACAGCUCACAACCAUCGUCAAGGAACACAUACCUAUUCCUUCACAUGAGCUCGUCCAUCAGAGGAGUAUGGCGAUUUCCUACAUGGAUGGAACAGUGAGAUUUGGAUCUCUACCUUCGUCGGUCGCCCCAUCUCCAUCAGUGGCCGCUUCGAGUUCAUCUCCAGUGGCUCGAUCUGAGGGUAACGUUUCUCGAUCUGAGGGUAACGUUUCACAACUUAACACCUCUCAAUGGGUUAUUAGAGCUUUGAAUGAUGGUGUGGAAAUUAACUCUUCUUUGCAAGUUACUAGUGGGGUGGUUGCUACCACUGUGGCUACUAUUCCUGAUCUAAAUAAUGUUAAUUUUCUUAAUGGUAGUAGUAGAGCUCAGACUAUGAUGAAUGAUGUGGGAUCAAAACCCUUGCAGAGUUAGGGUUCAAUGGGAUAUGUUAGUCCCUCUGUUAGUAACACUUUUAACCAUCAGUCUCACCAUCUAAGCAACUCACAGCCUUGCCACACAUUUUCUAGCCCAUAUCAUGCAUGAAUGAUGCAGGGAGCCAGUCAAACAAUACAAGGUCCUGAUCCUUUUACAAUGACUUACUCAGGACCUUAUUCCACUACCAUGAUCAAUUUCCCAUCAUCAGUUGUUCAACUACCCUUGUCAUUUGCAUUACCCCAAUUUUCACAUUCAAAACCACCACAACAACUUUACAUCCCACAUACUUAUGCCACUACCACUACCACUCACCAUGUCUCUAACACUCAUCAUCAUCCAUUUCAGGUCACUUCUCCUAACUAUGGCUACCCACUCAACCAAGUAUACCCUAAUCCCUUGUUCACAACCCAUGUUGAUCCAAAUUUACCCACAAUGAAGCAGAUGAGAUUGGAGUUCAGUGUGUUUAGUGGGGGUGACCCUGUUGAGUGGCUUAACAAGGCAGAUCAAUACUUUGAGUUUUACCAAAUACUUGAAGAUAGGAAGCUAUCAACUGCCACCAUGCAUUUGUCGGACAAAGCCUCAGACAGAUGGUAUAUGUUUCGGCAUGAAUUCCCAAGUACAUGGCAAGGGUUGGUUGAUUUGCUAAUGCGGGAAUUCAGCAGCUACAACAUGUCUGAGUACCAAGCGGCCUUGGCUGGAAUGAAUCAAACAGGUACUGUUGAAGGUUACAUGGAACAGUUCACUAAGCUAUCAAGAAGGGCACCUGGUUUCCCACUUGAGGUGCUUUUGUCUUGUUUUAUUGGAGGUUUGAAAGAAGAGAUAAGGGUUGAUGUGCAGGCUCAAAAGCCUAGGACUCUUUAUGAAGCAUGUAAACUAGCCAGGGUUUAUGAAACAAGGAAUGAAGGCCACAGAAAUCAUUCUAGAGGGAGUUUCACCCAUAAACCACCCACUGGAAGUAAUGUUAGGUUUACUUCAGAUACCAAGACCAGCUCCAAACCAGGGCAGUCCAUGUUUACCCCAAGGAGCACACAAUCCAAUUUUGGACCUUCACCUGGUAGCAAUAAUGUAAGAGUUAAACUCUCAGAUGUUGAAUUCGAGGCCAGGAGAGCUAAGAAUCAAUGUUAUUUCUGUAGUGAACCCUACAAGCCUGGUCACAAUUGCAGAAAGAAAGGAUAGUUAAUGAGCAUGGAAAUUAUACCAAAUGAAGGAUAACUUACAGAGGAGAUUGAUGAGAAGCAGUUGAUGGAGGUACCUCCCAUUGUUGACCUUGAUGAACCACUAAUCAGGCUCCAAAUUAUGGGGGAUGAGAAUUCACAGCCAGCUACCAUGCAAUUGAAGAGAGUAUUCAACAAAAGGAUGGUUCACAUAUUAAUAGAUUCGGGAGCCACACAUAACUUCAUUCAUCCCCAGCUGCUUAAGGGUUCCAAAGUGCAAGUACACCAGUUCUCACCAUUGAAUGUGAUACUAGCUAGUGGAGCUAAAAUGCAGACCAAGGGUGAAGUGAAGGUGGAAUUACAGAUACAACAGUUCAAGUUCAUGGAUGAUUUCUAUAUAUUACUAGUAACUGGAUGUGAGAUUGUAUUAGGAGCAGGGUGCUCAGAUCCUUGGGAGACAUUCUGUAGAAUUUUGAAACGAUGAAGAUGAAAUUUACAGUUGGUAAUAAUGAUGUUCAAUUGCAAAGGGAGACCAAAGCUGAAGCUACUGUUAUCAGUUGCAAGUCCAUGACUAAGCUACUUAAGAAGGAAAGGGAAGCCAUGCUGAUUCAAGUACAACCUGCAAUCAUGAACCAAACUGUGGAGACACCUCAACCUCAGAUACAGACACUCAUUGAAAAAUAUGCGGAUAUAUUUGCUGUACCUACUUCUUUGCCUCCAGCUAGAAGUCAAGAUCAUAAGAUUGAGUUAUUUCCUAACACACCACCAGUAAGUGUGAGGCCCUACAUAUACCCCCAUUUUCAGAAAUAUGAGAUAGAAAAGAUUGUGCAAGAAUUGUUAGCCAAUGGGAUGAUCAAGCCAAGUGUAAGCCCCUUCUCUUCCCUAGUGUUGUUGGUUAAGAAGAAGGAUGGGACUUGGAGAAUGUGUGUUGACUAUCGAUCCUUGAAUGCUGCAACUGUCAAAGAUAAAUACCCAAUCCCAGUUGUAGAUGAGCUAUUAGAUGAAAUCCAUUGGUCCGCCAUCAUCACCAAAUUAGAUUUGAGGUCUGGAUAUCACCAGAUAAGAAUGAGCCCUUUUGAUGUAAGUAAAACUGCCUUCAGAACUUGUACCAAAAAAAAAAAAAAACUGCCUUCAGAACUCACAAUGGCCACUAUGAGUUUUUGGUCAUGCCAUUUGGUUUGACUAAUGCCCCAUACACUUUUCAGUUAGUGAUGAAUGAUGUACUGAGAGAUUAUUUGAGAAAAUUUGCCUUGGUUUUCUUUGAUGAUAUUCUAGUGUACAGUCCUUCUAUAGAAGCACACUUGGAUCAUUUGGAAAGAAUUUUUAAGACCUUGCAGCAACACUCCCUCAAGGUAAAACAAAGCAAAUGCAGUUUUGGUGUUGCAACAGUGGAGUAUUUGGGACAUGUGAUUAGUGCUCAAGGAGUUGCUGUGGAUCCAGCAAAAAUAGAAUGUAUCAAAAAUUGGGGUAGACCACAAACUCUUAAAGGUUUGAGAGGGUUUUUGGGGCUUGCAGGAUAUUAUAGGAAAUAUGUGCAGCACUUUGGCACCAUAGCCAAACCCCUUACUGACAUGCUGAAGACUGGAGGAUUUCAAUGGACUAAUGAGUCAAUGGCAGCCUUUGAGAAAUUGAAGCAAGCCCUCAUGAACACUCCUGUAUUAGCCUUGCCUGAUUUUUCAAAGGAAUUUGUUAUUGAAUGUGAUGCAUUAGGAAUUGGGAUUGGAGCCAUACUAUCCCAAGAAGGGCAUCCCAUUGCCUUUCUCAGUAAAGCCUUGGCCCCUAGAGUCCUAGACACAUUGCAUUAUCAGUUUAUGAUAAGGAGAUGCUUGCAAUGGUAUUUGCAGUCCAACAUUGGAGACCAUACUUACUGGGAAACCAUUUUAAAAUCUAUACAGACCAUAGAACCAUCCAAUACUUCUUGGAUCAGAAGAUCUCCACUCCAACAUAACAGAAAUGGCUGUUGAAACUAGCUGGUUAUGGCUACUCUAUUGCUUAUAAGGCUGGUAAGAACAACUCAGCCCCUGAUGCUUUGUCAAGAAGGGAAGAGCUCAGUAAUAUCCACUCUGAAACCAUCACCGAGUAUGGAACACUAAAUACAAUUACUGGGAUUUCUUCACCUGUGCACAACUAUCUCACAGAUAUUCAAAAAGCUACUGCUCUUGAUCCUGAGGCCAGCCAAAUCAUUCAACAACUGGAGCAGGGCUGGUUGGCGGGCUAAAAUUAUUGCAGAAUUUCAUGAUGGUUAUAGUGGUGGUCACGCUGGAAUUCACAGAACAAAGAAGAGGAUUACAAGGUGUUUUGCUUGGCCAGGGCUACACAAGGAUGUUAAAACGUAUGUGGAUGAAUGUCAUCAUUGUCAACAGAAUCACUAUGAGACUAUACUGCCACCAGGCUUGCUUCAGCCAAAUGUGAUCCCAGACAAGGCAUGGACAAGGAUCUCGACGGACUUCAUUGAAGGGCUACCCACUUCUGCAGGUAAGAAUGUCAUAAUGGUUGUGGUGGAUAGACUAACUAAAUAUGGUCAUUUCAAACCCUUAGCCCAUCCCUACACUGCUACUGUCAUUGUUCAGAAUUUUGUUCAACAUGUUUUCAAACUUCAUGGAAUGCCUAAGUCCAUCAUUUCCGAUAUAGAUCUUGUGUUUCUAAGUAACUUUUGGGAGGCUUUCUUUAAGGCUCAAGGAACCUCUCUUGAUAAGAGUUCAUCUUACCAUUCCCAAACUGAUGGCCAAACUGAAAAUCUCAACAGAACACUAGAGCAAUAUUUGAUAUGUGUAGUGGGAGAGAAGCCUCACUCUUGGGUGGAUGCUCUACCUUGGGCUGAACACUGGUAUAAUACUACUCACCAUUCUGCUAUAGGCAUGACUCCAUUUCAAGCCUUGUAUGGUUAUGAGCCUCCCUCCAUCAGGACAUACAUACCAGGCUCCACUGCAACAGCAGCUUUUGAUAGCCAGCUCAAGACUAGGGAUGAAGUGCUAGCUAUGGUUAAAAGGAAUUUACAAGUAGCUCAAGCAUGAAUGAAGCAAUUCUAUGACAGGAACCAUACUGAGAGGACAUUUGAAGAAGGAGAAUGGGUAUACUUAAAGCUCCAGCCGGACAGACAACAAUCAGUCAAGAAAAGACUUGUUCACAAGCUUGCCCCAAGAUUCUAUGGACCAUAUCAGAUUGAGCAGAAGAUUGGUAAAGUGGCCUACAAACUGAAGCUGCAAAGUACAGCUAGAGUUCACCCUGUAUUCCAUGUGUCUCUACUAAAAAAGAAGAUUGGACAGUCAACUGUGGUCUCCGCACAUUUGCCCCCAAAUGUAGAUCCCUAUAAUCCCAGGUGGUAUCCUGCUAGGAUAUUGGAUAGGAAGCUUUUUAAACAGGGAAAUGAACCAGUAACCAAGUGGUUAAUUCAUUGGAUUGGCAUGACAGAGGAGGAAGCCACAUAGGAGGAUGCUGAAAAAAUCUCGCAGCGCUUUCCUUAAUUCCAAGCUUGAGGACAAGCUUAUCUUAUGGGGGCUGGAUUGUUAAAGACGUGGUCUCCUGAUCUUAGUAGGAAAGGUCAUCUCCGUGCAUGUGGCUGGCACGUGCUCAUUAGUUAACUAAUUAGUUAACCAAGUUAAUUAGUUGUUAUCUGUUAAUUAGUCUGUUAUGCUUAAUUAAUCAUGUUAGGGUUUUAUCCCAUCUUGCUCACUCGAUGUGGGACAAGUGUCCACAUGAUUUGGAGUAUAUAAACCCCCUUGCUGUAACCAUCAGCCUCAUCGUUGAAAAAAUAGUUCUUCCUGCUUUAAUUUUCUUUGCAAUUUCCCUUCAGUUGGGGCUUCUACCCUAACACACACAACAUUACCGGUUACCGAUGCCGAUCCCUGUGCGCGUUUACUCCACCUCGGCUGGAAGGAAUGAGCUCAUGCUUAUUGAGCAGCCGGUUGCCGGCAAAUGGAGUUUUCUUCUUCGGUGGUCCAGGAUUGUUCCGUGGUCCAGGAUUGGUGUUGUGGGAGGGGCCGGCUUGGGCAUCUCUCUCUAUGCAGCUUCCAUCCAACGCAAGGCGUACCGCCUCGAUCGAGUUCGAUUUCUGCACGAGACACAGCAGGCCAAGCUUGCGGAGAUGCGAGCCGUGAGGGCUGAGGAAAGGGCGGUCAGGGAGGAGGCAAGGGCGGUGAAGGCUCAGGAGAUCGCCGAGGCAAGGGCCGUGAGGCAGGAGGAGCGGGCGGUGAAGGCUCAGGAGAUCGCCGAGGCAAGGGCCGUGAGGCAGGAGGAGCGGGCGGUGAAGGCUGAGAAGAGAGCGGUGAAGGCUGCGGAGAGGGCCGAGGCGGCUCAGAAAGGAUGGCCGAGGAGAGGGCGGUGAAGGCUGGGGCGGUGAAGGCUGAGGAGAGGGCCGAGGCGGCUCAGAAAGGAUGGUUUAGCUGAGAUUUGAUGAUAUCUUACACAGGCUUUUAGUUUGACUGUUAAUGUAAUUGAAUGUUAAUGUAAUUGAAUGUGGGUUGUUGACCUUAUUUUGAAUGGAAAUGUUACAACAUUCAUUGGAA